AUGCAGGUUUUUGUACAGCAGCUCAAUCAGUUUGUAUCACUGUGGUGGACUUUUGGUGGAGGAACCAGACUGGAUGUUGGACGUGAUGUCCGUCCCUCCCUGACGGUGCUGCCCCCCUCCACAGAGGAGCUGCAGCAGGGGAAGGCCACGCUCAUGUGUCUGGCCAACAAGGGCUUCCCCUCAGACUGGAGUCUGUCCUGGAAGGUGGACGGCAGCAGCAGCAUCAGCAGCAGCAGCUGGGAGGAGAGCAGGAGCCCUGGGGUGCUGCAGGAGGACGGCCUCUACAGCUGGAGCAGCACCCUGAGGCUCCCUGCAGACCAGUGGGGGAAGGUGGGCUCUGUGAGCUGUGAGGCCACCCAGGGCUCCCAGACUCCACUCUCAGAGACACUGAGGAGAGACCUGUGUUCCCAGUCCUGA